UGAAAUUUGGUUGGAAUUGAGGGAUUUGGGGUGAAAUUUGGUUGGAUUUUGGGUAUUUUGGGUGAAAUUUGUUGGGACUUGAGUCAUUUUGAGUGGAAUUUGUUGGGAUUUGAGGCAUUUUAGAUGGAAUUUGUUGGGAUUUGACUCCCUUUUGGGUGAAAUUGGGUUGGAUUUGAGGCAUUUUGGGUGAAAUUUGGUUGGAUUUGAGUCAUUCUGAGUGGAAUUUGUUGGGAUUUGAGGCAUUUUAGGUGGAAUUUAAGACAUUUUGGGUGGAAUUUAUUUGGACUUGAGUCAUUUUGAGUGGAAUUUGUUGGGAUUUGAGUCAUUUUAGGUGGAAUUUGGUUGGAUUUGAGGCAUUUUGGGUGAAAUUUGGUUGAAUUUGAGUCAUUUUGGGUGAAAUUUGUUGGGAUUUGAGUCCUUUUGGGUGAAAUUUCUUGGGAUUUGUGCAAACGUCUGUGGAAUUUGGGUGAAUUUAUGGCAUCCUGGGUGAAAUUCACACGGAUUUCACUCGUUCUGGGUUAAAUUUGGGUGGAUUUGACUCAGUUUUGGAUGAAAUUUGGUUCACUUUGACUCAUUUUGGGUGAAAUUUGGUGGGAUUUGCAUCGUUUGAGUGAAAUUUAUUUGGAUUUAAAGAUUUUUGGGUGGAAUUUGGUUGGAUUUGACUCAUUUUGGGUGGAAUUUGAGUGAUUUUGAGGCAUCUUUGGUGAAAUUUGCACGGAUUUCACUCAUUUUGAGCAAAUUCUGGGUU